GCGCCGCCCAGGCGGCCCGGCGGCGUGCCGCGCACCUCGGCCGCGCUGGUGGCGCGGUUCCGUUCCACGGCGUCGCCC
rnacentral:tRNA from 1 species